UGGGGAAUCUUGGACAAUGGGGGCAACCCUGAUCCAGCGACGCCGCGUGGGUGGUAAGGCCUUCGGGUUGUAACGGUCUUUCGACGGGGACAAUGGUGAUGGUACCCGUAGAAGAAGGAGCGGCUAACUACGUGCCAGCAGCCGCGGUAAUACGUAGGCUCCAAGCGUUGUUCGGAAUUACUGGGCGUAAAGCGAGUGUAGGCGGUCCGUCAAGUUGGUUGUGAAAUCUCCCGGCUCAACUGGGAGGGUGCGACCAAAACUGACGGACUGGAGUCCGGGAGAGGAGAGUGGAAUUCCUGGUGUAGCGGUGAAAUGCGUAGAUAUCAGGAGGAACACCGGUGGUGAAGACGGCUCUCUGGACCGGUACUGACGCUGAGACUCGAAAGCGUGGGGAGCAAACAGGAUUAGAUACCCCUGUAGUCC
rnacentral:rRNA from 1 species